GGCAUGGUUUCACUGGGGACUUGGCACAACUUUUAGCAAUAGGACUCAGUAAUAUAAGAGGUCUUUUCCAACCAAAAUGAUUCUGUGGCCUCUCAUGCACCUGUCUGAAGGUGACACUGGAUGUCUGGGUAUUUUGACAGAACAGGCUGUGCCCAGUACAUAACUGCAUAAGAGUAAUGAUCUAGAAAAUGCAGUGUUGUGCAAGACCCACCAGUAAUGCUCAUCAGUAAUGCUGAGGCCAUGAAGAACAGCAAAGUACUAUAUUGCCUGCACUGUGUUAGUUAGUGUGAUUGGUAUGCUUGGCCUAUCCACUGACAUCCAGGGGUAUUUGUUUAGAAUAUAACUCUAGGAAUCUUAAGUGCUUUUUCCAAAACCAAGAUCUGUGCUGACAUGUGUGAGCAAAGUUACUUGAUGCUAAAACUCUCUACCCCUCAAAAAAGAUAAAGGGCAUAAGUCAUGCUGUUGGAAGCCAACACUCACAAAACAGCCUGUGCUGCCGAAAGCAUGGGAUGUCAGUUUAUUAAUAGUGUGAGUUUAUUUGCUGGGGCUUUUUGGUAGUUGCUGGUGGUGUUUCUAUUGAAAUCGUUGAGACUUUGCCAGCCUUUAGCUGUAUGAUUUCAUAGACUAGGCAGCUGGUUUUAGUAGGAGCUGAGUUUUCAGCUUGUGGGCCCUUUUCAGGAACAGGAAUGUCAACAAAACCAUCAAAUUCCUGAGUUAGCAACACCAAGAUUUCUAAGAUGAGCCAACACUUCAGGUUAAGUGACCUAUUUUCAAAUGCAUAGAACAUGCAGGCAUUUUAAUGUUCACCUGAUGGGUUGUGAGACACUGAACAGGUUGCCCAGGAAGGUGGUGGAAGCCUGGAGAUCUUUAGGACCAGGCUGGAUGUGGCUCUUAGCAACCUGAUCUAGUUUGAGAUGUCCUUGUUCACAGAAGGAGAGUUGGAACUAGAUGAUCUUUGAGGUCCCUUCCAGCCCUGACAGUUCUGUAAUUCUGUGAUUCUAAUCUUGCCCAGAGCUUUCAAAAUGCCAAAGGAAAAGCACAGUGAUGCAGGGCAGAUAGGCUUUUGCUGAACCCAGUUCACACAGGGGUGGUGGUGUUGAGUCAGUGCAAGGCCUAGCAAAUGGGUUACUUGAAGUAAUUCUGUACAGCAGCAGGUGGCAGGCUGGGGCCAUUUUUGGUCAUUUUUUACUUCAGCUCAAAGCUUUUUUCAGUAGAUGGCACUUGCCUCCGAGUGAGAUGUAUUUGGUGCUGUUGGGAGCUACCCAACGUCACACGGUUCAGAAAACAGCUACUGAAACUCAGUCAAGUCUCUAUCGUUUGAAAUGAUUUAAUUUUUACCUUGUCAGGAUAUAUUACAUGGCCAUUGUCCUACACCUGUGUUGGGACAAUCCCAAGCACAAACACAGGCUGCGAAAGGAAUGACUCAAGAACAGUCUCUAGGAGAAGGACUUGGGGGUGUCAUUUGAAGAUAAACUGAUGAUGCAUUGGCAAUGUGCACCAGAAGGUCAACUGCAUCCUGGGAUGCACCAGAAGCACUGUGACCAGCAAAACGAGAAAGAAUCUCUUUGUUAAUGCUGUAAAUGAAGGCUGGAUUUCAUCCUGAAUAGCUGCAGGUGUCAAUCAGCACAAAGCUCCUGUAUUUUACUCUGAUGUGAUGAACUUAACAAGUGGCCCAGACACCAAGCAAAAGUGAUGGCUAUUACCUUCCUCCUGCAUCCCCCCUGCCAUACAAGCCACAGAUGAAAGUCAAAUAUGAAACUUCCCAGAAAAAGAAAUUUUCUCAUCAGCAAUUUCUGAAUCUCUGCAAAGACAUCAGCAAGAC